UGAUGAUCCUGAUUUUGCUUGUGAAUUAUUAUUAUUUUAUAAAAAAAUGCCUACAAAUUAAUAUUAUUCAAAGGAAAAUUACCGAAAUAAGAGCACUUUCCGAUAGUAAUAUAUUAUACUCUUUGUUUACCAUAUAAUCGUAGUGCGUCUUCAGCAGUCUAUAGAAUUAGAAUAUAGAGCAUCUUAAACAACUGUUCUCAAAUCUAAUGUAUAUCUUAUAUAUUUACAUAUUGUACCAUGAACACAAACUGAGAAUAUUGCGCUAAAUUUGAAACAGG